rnacentral:misc_RNA from 1 species
AAGCUGUUCAUAAGCAAUCCUGAUGUGCCUCCUCUGGAUCGCAUUUCUAUGGGCGAGGAUGGCGAUUAUGGCCUUCUCGUCAGAUCCCCAGCCUUUGAAGGCGGUUCUGAGAGCUUCGGCAUCGACAUUGGCGGAAGGAACAUCGCGAGGAACAACUAGGGUAGCCAUAGCUUCACAAUCUUCUUCUUACACCUGAAUUUCUCUCAGUUUCUUUUCCACUUCCGCAGCUCAAAUAAUCCAACGCUUUUUUCUUCACUUGGCGUCUCGCCGCUAU